rnacentral:misc_RNA from 1 species
GAACGCACAUUGCGCCCCUUGGUAUUCCGGGGGGCAUGCCUGUUCGAGCGUCAUUAUAACCCUCAAGCCUAGCUUGGUGUUGGAGCAUGCUAUCUAGCAGCUCUUAAAAUCAGUGGCAGUGCCUUCCGGCUCUAAGCGUAGUAAUUCUUCUCGCUAUGGAAACCGGUUGGUCCGCGCCAGAACCCCCAAUUUCUAUGGUUGACCUCGGAUCAGGUAGGGAUACCCGCUGAACUUAAG